GAUGAACGCUGGCGGCGUGCCUAAUACAUGCAAGUCGAGCGAAUGACGAGGAGCUUGCUCCUCUGAUUUAGCGGCGGACGGGUGAGUAACACGUGGGUAACCUGCCUGUAAGACGGGGAUAACUCCGGGAAACCGGAGCUAAUACCGGAUGAUAACGAGAAGCGCCUGCUUCUUUUUUGACAGUCGGUUUCGGCUGACGCUUACAGAUGGGCCCGCGGCGCAUUAUCUAGUUGGUGAGGUAACGGCUCACCAAGGCGACGAUGCGUAGCCGACCUGAGAGGGUGAUCGGCCACACUGGGACUGAGACACGGCCCAGACUCCUACGGGAGGCAGCAGUAGGGAAUCUUCGGCAAUGGACGAAAGUCUGACCGAGCAACGCCGCGUGAGCGAUGAAGGCCUUCGGGUCGUAAAGCUCUGUUGUCAGAGAAGAACAAGUACCGGAGUCACUGCCGGUACCUUGACGGUACUUGACCAGAAAGCCACGGCUAACUACGUGCCAGCAGCCGCGGUAA
rnacentral:rRNA from 1 species